rnacentral:rRNA from 1 species
AAUGAACGUUGGCGGCAUGGGUUAGGCAUGCAAGUCGGGGGAAUCCCAGCAAUGGGGGAACCGGCGUAAGGGGCAGUAAGGCAUGGGUGCCUACCUUGGGGUUCGGGAUAGCCAUCAGAGAUGGUGGGUAAUACCGGAUGACGUCGUGAGACCAAAGAUUUAUCGCCCUUAGAGGGGCCCAUGUGAUAUGAGCUAGUUGGUGGGGUAACGGCCCACCAAGGCGAAGAUGUCUAGCGGGUGUGAGAGCACGACCCGCGCCACUCGCACUGAGACACUGGCGAGACACCUACGGGUGGCUGCAGUCGAGGAUCUUCGGCAAUGAGCGCAAGCUUGACCGAGCGAUGCCGCGUGAGCGAUGAAGGCCUUCGGGUUGUAAAGCUCUUUAGUGGGGGAGAAAAGCCGCAAGGUGUGAUCUAUCCCAAAAAUAAGCACGGGCUAAGUUCGUGCCAGCAGCCGCCGUAA